rnacentral:rRNA from 1 species
UACUCCUACGGGAGGCAGCAGUAGGGAAUCUUCCACAAUGGACGAAAGUCUGAUGGAGCAACGCCGCGUGAGUGAAGAAGGUUUUAGGAUCGUAAAACUCUGUUGUUGGAGAAGAACAGGGACUAGAGUAACUGUUAGUCCUUUGACGGUAUCCAACCAGAAAGCCACGGCUAACUACGUGCCAGCAGCCGCGGUAAU